rnacentral:tRNA from 1 species
GCCCCGGUGGCGAAAUUGGUAGACGCAGCAGACUCAAAAUCUGCCGGCCUUAAAACCAUGCCGGUUCGAGUCCGGCCCGGGGCA